rnacentral:rRNA from 1 species
UAGCUUGCUACCUGACCUAGCGGCGGACGGGUGAGUAAUGCUUAGGAAUCUGCCUAUUAGUGGGGGACAACAUUCCGAAAGGAAUGCUAAUACCGCAUACGCCCUACGGGGGAAAGCAGGGGAUCUUCGGACCUUGCGCUAAUAGAUGAGCCUAAGUCAGAUUAGCUAGUUGGUGGGGUAAAGGCCUACCAAGGCGACGAUCUGUAGCGGGUCUGAGAGGAUGAUCCGCCACACUGGGACUGAGACACGGCCCAGACUCCUACGGGAGGCAGCAGUGGGGAAUAUUGGACAAUGGGCGAAAGCCUGAUCCAGCCAUGCCGCGUGUGUGAAGAAGGCCUUUUGGUUGUAAAGCACUUUAAGCGAGGAGGAGGCUACUUGGAUUAAUACUCUAGGAUAGUGGACGUUACUCGCAGAAUAAGCACCGGCUAACUCUGUGCCAGCAGCCGCGGUAAUACAGAGGGUGCGAGCGUUAAUCGGAUUUACUGGGCGUAAAGCGUGCGUAGGCGGCUUUUUAAGUCGGAUGUGAAAUCCCUGAGCUUAACUUAGGAAUUGCAUUCGAUACUGGGAAGCUAGAGUAUGGGAGAGGAUGGUAGAAUUCCAGGUGUAGCGGUGAAAUGCGUAGAGAUCUGGAGGAAUACCGAUGGCGAAGGCAGCCAUCUGGCCUAAUACUGACGCUGAGGUACGAAAGCAUGGGGAGCAAACAGGAUUAGAUACCCUGGUAGUCCAUGCCGUAAACGAUGUCUACUAGCCGUUGGGGCCUUUGAGGCUUUAGUGGCGCAGCUAACGCGAUAAGUAGACCGCCUGGGGAGUACGGUCGCAAGACUAAAACUCAAAUGAAUUGACGGGGGCCCGCACAAGCGGUGGAGCAUGUGGUUUAAUUCGAUGCAACGCGAAGAACCUUACCUGGUCUUGACAUAGUAAGAACUUUCCAGAGAUGGAUUGGUGCCUUCGGGAACUUACAUACAGGUGCUGCAUGGCUGUCGUCAGCUCGUGUCGUGAGAUGUUGGGUUAAGUCCCGCAACGAGCGCAACCCUUUUCCUUAUUUGCCAGCGGGUUAAGCCGGGAACUUUAAGGAUACUGCCAGUGACAAACUGGAGGAAGGCGGGGACGACGUCAAGUCAUCAUGGCCCUUACGACCAGGGCUACACACGUGCUACAAUGGUCGGUACAAAGGGUUGCCACCUAGCGAUAGGAUGCUAAUCUCAAAAAGCCGAUCGUAGUCCGGAUUGGAGUCUGCAACUCGACUCCAUGAAG